UACGGAGGAUGCAAGCGUUAUCCGGAAUGAUUGGGCGUAAAGCGUCCGCAGGUGGCUAUGUAAGUCUGCUGUUAAAGAGUGAGGCUCAACCUCAUAAGAGCAGUGGAAACUACAUGGCUAGAGUGCGUUCGGGGCAGAGGGAAUUCCUGGUGUAGCGGUGAAAUGCGUAGAUAUCAGGAAGAACACCGGUGGCGAAAGCGAUCUGCUAGGCCGCAACUGACACUGAGGGACGAAAGCGAGGGGAGCGAAUGGG
rnacentral:rRNA from 1 species